rnacentral:rRNA from 1 species
ACCAAAAACAUAGCCCCUAGACCCCUAUUAGAGGUGACGCCUGCCCGAUGGUUUAUCCUAAGUUAAUCACCAUUAACGAACCUGAACUCAAUGGCCGCGGUAUUUCUGACCGUGAUAAUGUAGCGAAAUCAAUCGUCACUUAAUUGCUGACCCGUAUCAAAGGUAUUACGAAUGUUCCCCUGUCUCAAGAAAAACCCCUGUGAAAUUGAAGGGGCCGUGCAUAUGCGGCCUAAUCUCCUGUAAGACGAAAAGACCCUAUUGAGCUUUACUAUAACCUUUUCUCAAAACACUAAGGAAACGAGCAACCCUCUAACCUUAGUCUUAGGGAAGGCUGGUAGUUUCGUUGGGGCGACGACCUUUCAAAAAGUAACAAAGGUUAGCGAUGGUUUUCUAUUUAAUGAAUCUUAGCCUGACUGUUUGGCUUAUAAGCCUACCAGACACCUUCGUGAGCCAUAAUUUUCCAUUUUAAGGGAAACCUUAAAAUGCCAUAAUAUAAAAGUUACCAUAGGGAUAACAGCGUAAUUUUGUCGAAGAGCUCUUAUCGAUGACAAAGAUUGCGACCUCGAUG